CCUACGGGAGGCAGCAGUGAGGAAUAUUGGUCAAUGGACGGAAGUCUGAACCAGCCAUGCCGCGUGAAGGAGGACGGUACAAUGUAUUGUAAACUGCUUUUGUCAAAGGACAAAGCUGGAUACGUGUCUUCAGCUGAGUGUACCUUACGAAUAAGCAUCGGCUAACUCCGUGCCAGCAGCCGCGGUAAUACGGAGGAUCCGAGCGUUAUCCGGAUUUAUUGGGUUUAAAGGGUGCGUAGGCGGAUUGAUAAGUUAGCGGUGAAAUGUCCGAGCUUAACUCGGGAACUGCCUCUAAUACUGUCAGUCUAGAGAGUAGGUGCGGUAGGCGGAAUGUAUGGUGUAGCGGUGAAAUGCUUAGAGAUCGUACAGAACACCGAUUGCGAAGGCAGCUUGCC
rnacentral:rRNA from 1 species